UAGACAGCCAAUUUCAUUGUGAAACAUCUUUCUCUUCUGUACACAAUGAUCCAGAAAAUAAAGCCUCUGUACUUUGCUGCUUUUCGCAGUGUAUUCUACAUAAAUACAUUUAAAUUCUGGCACUUACAAGCGGUCCAGUGUCCUUCUUUUGUGCGAGAGUGGCGCUUUUGGCUGUCGGCAUCUUCAGCUCUCAAACUUGUUUCAAACCGUUUUCCUUGGAACAUUAUCUGGAGGCACAGCAGUGCCGCCGCCAAGUCGAGUAGCACGCCCGUACCAUCCUUUUCUGGAAGCAACUCAGGGUACUUUUCACAUCUCCA
rnacentral:lncRNA from 1 species